UUCUGACUGUUUGAUCUCGCCCGCUCGCUUUCCUAACAAUCCGACAUGCAAAAUAGCACCCAAUCAGCACCCUCAACCGUCAGAUCGUGCCUUUUCGUGCGUGGACCGUGCAUUGACAAUGCGAAACAAUCCGUGGACCGUGCGAAAUGCCUGGGUGCGUUUCUACACUGUGGACCAUGCAUGCACUGCGCGCCUCAUGCGCGGGCAUGCCCUAGAACGCACGGUGGACCGCGCAGUGGUCCAUGCAUCUCGAGCCAUGCACUGUAGGCCUGGGGCCUGCAGGCCUGUGCACGGCUAUUCGCUGCGCCUGUGGGUCACCUUCGUCUUGGGCUUCGCUGCUAUGGAUUUUUCUGUCGUGGAUCGAAUUUUGAGGCAUCAAAACUCAACAGAACCCAUGUGUGGUUGUGCAUAAAUCUAGUAAUGGACUAAGCUAUCUCAAUAAUCUAUUUCACACUAAAGAUUUUUCUGAUGUCCAUCGAUCUAUGAAGUAUGCAGCAUAUGGAGUCCAAAAAAAUAUGGUCAUCCAAUCAUCAAAAUAUCCCUGAUAACCUGAUGUUAUGUCCCCUUAUCUGUGAUCACCUGCAUAACAUGCUGCUCCCCUAUUUGAUCUACAACUUCAUCAAACUAAGGAUAUAAUGGGCAUCUUGCAUGUGAUCUAAAGCAUCAACUAACUACUGGAAAAAUAUUGUCAUAUCAUAAUAUGUCAAGAAAUUAUUAUGCUCUAUCUGCUGAAACCUAUCCAACCAACACACAUCCAAAUCAAUCCAUAGGUAUCCCACUUGCUUUAGUAGAAGGCUAUCUAUUUCUCUAACUCCUUAUCCAUACAUAAUACAAAUUGUUCAUAAUUUUUGUAAUUAUUUUAAAUAUUUUUAAUUAAUUUUUUAAUUAAUAAAUUAAUUAACUAUAAAAUAUCUGAAAAAAUAGUUUUAAUUUGGACUAGUAUAGCAUCCUACCAGCAUUGAUGCAUAUAUUUUUCUCAACACAUAGAUAUGCACUAAUCGCCACUUAUUUUAAAACUUAUUUAAAUUUGGGCUUAGGUUGCUACACUAAUGACUAAUGAGCAUGCCCAAAUUUAAAGAAAUUGCCAUCAAGUUG
rnacentral:lncRNA from 1 species